rnacentral:rRNA from 1 species
GACGAACGCUGGCGGCGUGCUUAACACAUGCAAGUCGAACGGCAAGGCCCUGCUUUUGUGGGGUGCUCGAGUGCCGAACGCGUGAGUAACACGUGAGUAACCUGCCCUUGACUUUGGGAUAACUUCAGGAAACUGGAGCUACUACCGGAUAGCAGCUCCUGCUGCAUGGUGGGCGUUGGAAAGUUUCGGCGGUUGGGGAUGGACGCGCGGGUUAUGAGCUUGUUGGUGGGGUAGUGGAUUACCCAGGCUUUGACGGGUAGCCGGCCUGGGAGGGUGACCGGCGACAUUGGGCCUGCGGGACGGCCCAGACUCCUACGGGAGGCAGCAGGGGGGAAUAUUGCACAAUGGGCGGAAGCCUGAUGCAGCAACGCCGCGGGCGGGAUGACGGCCUGCGGGGUGUAAACCGCUUUCGGCUGUGACGAAGCGUGAGUGACGGUAAUGGGUAAAGAAGCACCGGCUAACUACGUG